rnacentral:rRNA from 1 species
AGUGAACGCUGGCGGUAGGCCUAACACAUGCAAGUCGAACGGCAGCACAGUAAGAGCUUGCUCUUACGGGUGGCGAGUGGCGGACGGGUGAGGAAUACAUCGGAAUCUACUUUUUCGUGGGGGAUAACGUAGGGAAACUUACGCUAAUACCGCAUACGACCUACGGGUGAAAGCAGGGGAUCUUCGGACCUUGCGCGAUUGAAUGAGCCGAUGUCGGAUUAGCUAGUUGGCGGGGUAAAGGCCCACCAAGGCGACGAUCCGUAGCUGGUCUGAGAGGAUGAUCGGCCACACUGGAACUGAGACACGGUCCAGACUCCUACGAGAGGCAGCAGGGGGGAAUAUUGGACAGUGGGCGGAAGCCUGAUCCAGCCAUACCGCGUGGGUGAAGAAGGCCUUCGGGUUGUAAAGCCCUUUUGUUGGGAAAGAAAAGCAGCAGGUUAAUACCCCGCUGUUCUGACGGUACCCAAAGAAUAAGCACCGGCUAACUUCGU